UGGGGAAUUUUGGACAAUGGGCGAAAGCCUGAUCCAGCAAUGCCGCGUGUGUGAAGAAGGCCCUCGGGUUGUAAAGCACUUUUGUCCGGAAAGAAAUCCUUGGCUCUAAUACAGUCGGGGGAUGACGGUACCGGAAGAAUAAGCACCGGCUAACUACGUGCCAGCAGCCGCGGUAAUACGUAGGGUGCAAGCGUUAAUCGGAAUUACUGGGCGUAAAGCGUGCGCAGGCGGUUUGCUAAGACCGAUGUGAAAUCCCCGGGCUCAACCUGGGAACUGCAUUGGUGACUGGCAGGCUAGAGUAUGGCAGAGGGGGGUAGAAUUCCACGUGUAGCAGUGAAAUGCGUAGAGAUGUGGAGGAAUACCGAUGGCGAAGGCAGCCCCCUGGGCCAAUACUGACGCUCAUGCACGAAAGCGUGGGGAGCAAACAGGAUUAGAUACCCUGGUAGUCCACGCCCUAAACGAUGUCAACUAGUUGUUGGGGAUUCAUUUCCUUAGUAACGUAGCUAACGCGUGAAGUUGACCGCCUGGGGAGUACGGUCGCAAGAUUAAAACUCAAAGGAAUUGACGGGGU
rnacentral:rRNA from 1 species